UGCAGUCGAGCGGGGGAAGGUAGCUUGCUACUGGACCUAGCGGCGGACGGGUGAGUAAUACUUAGGAAUCUGCCUAUUAGUGGGGGACAACGUUCCGAAAGGAGCGCUAAUACCGCAUACGCCCUACGGGGGAAAGCAGGGGAUCUUCGGACCUUGCGCUAAUAGAUGAGCCUAAGUCGGAUUAGCUAGUUGGGGGGGUAAAGGCCUACCAAGGCGACGAUCUGUAGCGGGUUUGAGAGGAUGAUCCGCCACACUGGGACUGAGACACGGCCCAGACUCCUACGGGAGGCAGCAGUGGGGAAUAUUGGACAAUGGGCGCAAGCCUGAUCCAGCCAUGCCGCGUGUGUGAAGAAGGCCUUAUGGUUGUAAAGCACUUUAAGCGAGGAGGAGGCUUACCUAGCUAAUACCUAGGAUAAGUGGACGUUACUCGCAGAAUAAGCACCGGCUAACUCUGUGCCAGCAGCCGCGGUAAUACAGAGGGUGCAAGCGUUAAUCGGAAUUACUGGGCGUAAAGCGCGCGUAGGUGGCCAUUUAAGUCAAAUGUGAAAUCCCCGAGCUUAACUUGGGAAUUGCAUUCGAUACUGGAUGGCUAGAGUAUAGGAGAGGAAAGUAGAAUUCCAGGUGUAGCGGUGAAAUGCGUAGAGAUCUGGA
rnacentral:rRNA from 1 species